rnacentral:rRNA from 1 species
UACGUAGGGUGCAAGCGUUGUCCGGAAUUAUUGGGCGUAAAGAGCUCGUAGGCGGUCUGUCGCGUCUGCUGUGAGAACUCAGGGCUUAACCCUGAGCUUGCAGUGGGUACGGGCAGACUAGAGUGCGGUAGGGGAGACUGGAAUUCCUGGUGUAGCGGUGAAAUGCGCAGAUAUCAGGAGGAACACCGAUGGCGAAGGCAGGUCACUGGGCCGCAACUGACGCUGAGGAGCGAAAGCAUGGGGAGCGAACAGG